CGUUAUCCAAUAAAAACUUUCUGUAUUUUUUUAGGUACCUUGAAUCCAUUUUUAGCUUCACGGCAUUCAAACUAGGUAAUGACGUAUCUUUAUAAUUAAAAUUGAAAAACGACACAAUUUCUGUGACAUAACUCAGCAAUUCUAAAGUACAAAAGUUAAAAUUAGGUUCCUAAAAAAACUCAAAUUUGAGAUUUGUGUCGGUAAAUCAAGAUUUUGAAACUAUUGAAUAAAUUUGAGUUUUGCAAGAAUACUGCUUUGUCAUCAAUAUGGACAUCAUUUUAUAAUUCAAGGCCAUGAACAAGGCGUUUCCUUUUCCUAACGAACCAUAAUCUGGUCUACAAUUGCUUCCAAAAACGAUGCGCAGAAAUUAAAAUAUAUCCCUAAAAUGAAGAUGCUAAUGAUUUCCUUUUCAAUAAUCGCCUCAGGAAUAAUUCUCAGCUGUAUUAAUGCUAGUCCUGCAUUGAAAAGAAGCAACCGAGUUUCAAGGGAAACACUUCCUCUUUUCAAACUGCUCAAAAUUUCAACAGAUUUUUAUAAUACAGCUGGACAUAUGUACAAAACUGCAAAGGAUGGACUUCAAAUACCAAUCAAUAUCGCUAAUACAGCAAUGACCAUAGCGCUGGCUCCAUUUCGCACCGCUAAUAGUCUUGUAAAUAUGGUUGCUUAAGAUAUCCGAAAAACUCAAAAUUUUUCUAAUCAGUAACCAAGUAAAAUAAUGUAAUACGUUGACAAAUAUUUCCCUACAAAGCUUCAAGAAGUGUUCUAAAUUGACUUCUCACCAAACUUCGAUUGUUAUUGAAACUUGUAUUAAUGAACAGAAAUGAAAUAAACAAAAGUAGAUUAAAUGUAAUAAAUAAAAAUUGAUAUGAACUCGAAAAAAAAUAUUUAUUUUACAACCACACAUGACAAUAUAUGAAUAUUUCCUAUACAUGAAUAUAAAACUUUUGAUGCUGUUUCGUUUUAGAAUUAUGUUUUCAUGAUAAUAAUUUUAAUGAAAAAAGUCAAAAGACGCUUCUCACCAAAUAUUGCAGUCUGUUAUUACAUUACAUUAUUGUCUAAAUAUUGCAUGUCAUUAUUUUAUGUUCCUUCCUGAAUAUUGUCUUAGGCCUAACAGUCUCUUAAGCCUAAGAUUUGAUUACUUAUAAAUUAUACCUGAAAUCUAUAAACUAUUUGUAAUUAGUAAAAGUUGAUGAAAAUCUAAAGAAUUUUAUUUAACUUAAGUGUAUGCAUCUUAUGCUUUUAAUAAAUUCUCUGAGUUA